GAGCAACUGAUCAAAAUCAUCUCUUGCGUAACCACAAUUCCCACUCCCACCAGAAACACCAGCUGGAUUAUUACUACUCAAUAGGUUGGUAAAAUAAGAACUUGGCGCGGAUCGAUAUCGAGUUAAACCAGAAGUCAUCUGUUGCUGCUGAUGACUUCUAUGAUCCAUACUUUUCUCCCUUCAAAUACUCAAAAGAAAUCUCCUUUAUUACAAAAACAACAAUAUAACAACUACUAUGCCUCAAUCUCAAC
rnacentral:misc_RNA from 1 species